CUAAAUUAAACUCUGUAAUAAUUGGAACUGCUUCAUAUAACUAAAGGAGGCACCUCAGGACUGAUUAUCUCCUUUAGCAAUUUUGAUUGAUAUUGGCUAAAUAAACUAUUCGAUCCACUUUGUAAAUAGGAUCUGUACGGGUAUCUUACAGACAGAUUUGGGACUACUGACCCUAUUUUAAUAUUGCUUGUCACACUUGUUUUAU